UCAGCACUGGCACUCCUGGCAUC
rnacentral:piRNA from 1 species